rnacentral:rRNA from 1 species
UACAGAGGAUGCAAGCGUUAUCCGGAACGAUUGGGCGUAAAGCGUCUGUAGGUGGCUUUUUAAGUCCGCCGUCAAAUCCCAGGGCUCAACUCUGGACAGGCGGUGGAAACUACCAAGCUGGAGUACGGUAGGGGCAGAGGGAAUUUCCGGUGGAGCGGUGAAAUGCGCAGAUAUCAGGAGGAACACCGGUGGCGAAGGCGGGUCUCUGGGCCGUAACUGACGCUGAGGAGCGAAAGCAUGGGGAGCGAACAGG